rnacentral:lncRNA from 1 species
GCUGUUAGUGUCAAAUUCUUGUGUAAUAUUUUUUACAUGUGCUUAUGUGCCAUGUGCUGUCUGUAUGUUGUAUUAUACUUCAUCAUACUGCAGCUAUGAUUUUUUUGUUAGGCAAUCUUAUAAACCUGCUACCUGUGCUGAAUCUUAGAACUUAAAGGUUCGGACUAUGUGGGGAAGUGAAAAGAUCUACGAAAUGCAUUGUCUUUCUGAGGCGAAAAUCUAGAAUUAAUUCUUCUGGCCUCUGUGAAUACCCUGGUUCAGAUUCUGGAGUAUUCAGAACCGUAAUCUGCAUUCCUUUUCAAUCAGUUGUAGUCUUGGUGAUGAUCAGAAGCAGCUGACUAGGAAGUACUGUGGGUUUUUUGGAAACAGCAGCUGUAGUGGAAAUGCUAAGUCACAGUCUGAAACAGUGAUUGAGAACCUGGUGGGAAGGCAGAGCCAAUGCAGGGGAGCUCAGGUGCAAGCAAUGCACCUGAGUGACUGGAAAGGGUGGAGUGAGGAUCCACCCUUCCCAGACCUCAUUUAAGGGUUGGCAGUGGAGGUGAGAAUAUAGCUUGCUGGAGCUCUGCCUACCUGAGGUCUUCCAAAGGUAAGCAGCUUUUUUUUUUUCCUUUCAUUUCCGCAUUUGUGGCUGCUGCAUUUGGGUUCAUUCUCACUUGCUGUAGCCAAAGACUGCUGUUAUCAUCCCAUUAUAGCCUUACAGCAGCUCAGAAGGAGCCAUUCU